UACGAAGGGGGCUAGCGUUGCUCGGAAUCACUGGGCGUAAAGCGCACGUAGGCGGCUUUUUAAGUCAGGGGUGAAAUCCCGGAGCUCAACUCCGGAACUGCCUUUGAUACUGAAAAGCUUGAGUUCGGGAGAGGUGAGUGGAACUGCGAGUGUAGAGGUGAAAUUCGUAGAUAUUCGCAAGAACACCAGUGGCGAAGGCGGCUCACUGGCCCGAUACUGACGCUGAGGCACGAAAGCGUGGGGAGCAAACAGG
rnacentral:rRNA from 1 species